AUUGCUAGAUGGUCACUUCGAUUAGUACAGGAAUUGGUUCCUGUGCUACCGGCUUAGGUUCGAACCUGCGGGGUCACAUACAUUAGAGGUUCCUAUCUGAUCUAAUGGCUGAUGAAGAGUCUUAAUGUUCAUGGACUCUGAGUCCUACAUGUCUGGGACUCUGUGAUCGAGAAUCAGGAUUCUCUGAUCAUGAGUCCCACGCAUUUUUGGUAGCGGGGUCAAGAGUCCCACUAGUUU
rnacentral:lncRNA from 1 species